GAAAAGAGGGAGAUAUCAGGUUUUUUAAUAAAAUAUACUUCGUAAAAUGCAGAAUUUAUAGAAACAGAAUGAAUUUG